UAGUCCACGCCGUAAACGAUGAGUGCUAGAUAUCGGGAAUUAAAUUUUCGGUUUCGCAGCUAACGCAUUAAGCACUCCGCCUGGGGACUACGAUCGCAAGAUUAAAACUCAAAGGAAUUGACGGGGGCUCGCACAAGUGGUGGAGCAUGCGGUUUAAUUCGAUGCAACGCGAAGAACCUUACCUGGGCUUGACAUCUACGGAACCUUGGCGAAAGUUGAGGGUGCUGUUUUGCAGAGCCGUAAGACAGGUGGUGCACGGUUGUCGUCAGCUCGUGUCGUGAGAUGUUGGGUUAAGUCCCGCAACGAGCGCAACCCACGUCGUAUGUUGAUACGCGCCUUAUGGUGGCGAUCCCUCAUGCGAGACUGCCGGUGACAAGCCGGAGGAAGGUGUGGAUGACGUCAAAUCAUCAUGCCCCUUAUGUCCAGGGGCUACACACGUGUUACAAUGGGACAGGACAACGAGUCGCUUGCUGGGUAACA
rnacentral:rRNA from 1 species